GACGAACCGAGCGAACGUUAUUCGGAAUCACUGGGCUUAAAGGGUGCGUAGGCGGGCCCGUCAGUCAGGGGUGAAAUCCCACGGCCCAACCGUGGAAGUGCCUCUGAUACUGCGGGCCUGGAGGGGGAUAGGGGCGUGCGGAACUUCCGGUGGAGCGGUGAAAUGCGUAGAUAUCGGAAGGAACACCGGUGGCGAAAGCGGCGCGCUGGAUCCCUACUGACGCUGAGGAGCGAAAGCGUGGGGAGCGAACAGG
rnacentral:rRNA from 1 species